GACGAACGCUGGCGGCGUGCUUAACACAUGCAAGUCGAGCGGUAAGGCCCUUUCGGGGGUACACGAGCGGCGAACGGGUGAGUAACACGUGGGUAACCUGCCCUCAGCUCUGGGAUAAGCCUGGGAAACCGGGUACUAAUACCGGAUAUGACUCCAUGACGCAUGUUGUGGGGUGGAAAGCCUUGUGCGGCUGAGGAUGGGCCCGCGGCCUAUCAGCUUGUUGGUGGGGUGAUGGCCACCAAGGCGACGACGGUAGCCGGCCUGAGAGGCGACCGGCCACACUGGGACUGAGACACGGCCCAGACUCCUACGGGAGGCAGCAGUGGGGAAUCUUGCGCAAUGGGCGAAAAGCCUGACGCAGCGACGCCGCGUGAGGGAUGACGGCCU
rnacentral:rRNA from 1 species